rnacentral:lncRNA from 1 species
ACCGUCAAUUAAUUUUGACGCUUUUAUUUCUCUGAAAGAGAGUUACCGUAAAAUGGGAUUUUCGGUGAAUAUAAAUAUGUAUAUAUGAGAGAGUAUGUAUAUAAAAAUGCUAGCUAGCCAUAUGUGUCUGUCCACCUUAAUGGCGUAGCAUAUAGCCGCAUUAUGGUGUGACGUGAGCGUUGGACGUAAGCGUAGUAGCCCUAUAUGAGUGUUUAAUUCAUAUAGGGGGUAUGGGCACAUAUUUAUACACCCGUCUGUCCACCUUGAUGGCGUAGUGUAGCACCGCAUUAAGGCGUGACGUGAGCGUUGGACGCGAGCGUAGUAGCCCUAUAUAGACCAUGAAUUUAUAUAGGGAGUAUGGACGUAGUGUAAAUACAUACAUAUAUUAUAUAGAGUCUGAGAGGCUCGACAUUUAUGAGAUAAAAGUUUUAUCGCUUGCGGCAUGCAUUCGUAUUUUUUUUCCUUAGAAAUUAAUUUGGGGAAACAUAAAUAUUUUAUUUAUUAUUUUAUUUUUGUCCACUCACUCUAACAUUAUUAAAUGUUUUCCCCUGGGCCCUUCGUUUUAAAUUGCCCAGUCUGCAGAGUUCGGGUUGGAUCUAGUAGGAGACGAGGCAUAGUCACCCGCAUUUCUGCCAGUUUUCGUCAGUAGGUUACCUGUUCAACCUACUCGUGUUUUCUUGCUUCCGCUUGUGUUUAGUAGCUCUGAAUACUUUAGAAUUUUUGUAUAUUAUGCGAUGUUCAGAAGUGAUAAAUUAAGAGUGUAAUUUUAAAUUUUCGAGUUAGGGUUGUCCAUCUGCAAGGGAGAUUUUCUUAAUCUUUUCAGUAAAUUUUCCUUGGAGGUGGUCCCCGCACGACUUACUCUGGGUUUCAGGGUGAAAUUCGGGGUGAGUCGUGUCACUGGAUCAUAUGAUCCUUAGAGCUGAGGGCAAUGCUUGAGAUUGGAUUCAUCGAGCAACGACUAUAAGGAGCGAGAGUCAGUGACUCCCAUAUCCACCGUGGCAUUU